CCUACGGGUGGCAGCAGUGGGGAAUAUUGGGCAAUGGGCGCAAGCCUGACCCAGCAACGCCGCGUGAAGGAAGAAGGCUUUCGGGUUGUAAACUUCUUUUAUGAGGGACGAAAGAAAUGACGGUACCGCAUGAAUAAGCCUCUGCUAACUACGUGCCAGCAUCCGCGGUAAUCCGGAGGUGGCAAGCUUUAUCCGGAUUUACUGGGUGUAAGGGGCGUGUAGGCGGGACUGCAAGUCAGAAGUGAAAAGUAUGGGCUCAACCCCUAACCUGCAUUUGAAAUUGUAGUUAUUGAGUGAUGGAGGGGCAGGCGGAAUUCCGUGUGUAGCGGGGAAAUGCGUAGAUAUAAGGAGGAACACCAGUGGCGAAGGCAGCCUACUGGACGUUAACUGACGCUGAGGCGCGAAAGCGUGGGGAGCAAACAGGAUUAGAUACCCGGGUAGUC
rnacentral:rRNA from 1 species